AGAACGAACGCUGGCGGCGUGGAUAAGACAUGCAAGUCGAACGGGACAACAUUUGUAGCAAUACAGAUGUUGUUUAGUGGCGAACGGGUGCGUAACACGUGGGCAAUCUGCCGAGAAGUGGGGGAUAGCUCGCCGAAAGGCGAAUUAAUACCGCAUAUGAUCAGGGACGACAUCUUCCCAACAUCAAAGCCGGGGUAACCUGGCGCUUCUU
rnacentral:rRNA from 1 species